rnacentral:tRNA from 1 species
GAGGGUACGGCUCAGUGGUAGAGCGCAUGAUUAGCAUGCACAAGGUCCUGGGUUCAAUCCCCAGUGCCUCCA